UACGUAGGGUGCGAGCGUUGUUCGGAUUUACUGGGCGUAAAGGGCGCGUAGGCGGCCACCGCAAGUCGACUGUGAAAUCUCCGGGCUUAACCCGGAAAGGUCAGCCGAUACUGCGGGGCUAGAGUGCAGAAGGGGCAACUGGAAUUCUCGGUGUAGCGGUGAAAUGCGUAGAUAUCGAGAGGAACACCUGCGGCGAAGGCGGGUUGCUGGGCUGACACUGACGCUGAUGCGCGAAAGCUAGGGGAGCGAACGGG
rnacentral:rRNA from 1 species